AGGAUGAACGCUGGCGGCGUGCCUAACACAUGCAAGUCGAACGUCCUGUCUCGCAAGAGGCAGGGAGUGGCGGACGGGUGAGUACCACGUGGGUUAUCUACCGUGAGGUGAGGAAUACCGGCGAGAAAUCGCCGACAAGACCGCAUAGCCUCGGUGCAAGUCGAGGAAAGCUCUCUCGAGAGAGGGAGCGCCACACGAGGAGCCUGCGCCCGAUUAGCUAGCUGGUGGAGUAAUGGUUCACCAGGGCGACGAUCGGUAGCUGGUCUGAGAGGACGAUCAGCCACACUGGGAUUGAGAACGGCCCAGACUCCGUACGGGGGGCAGCAGUGAGGAAUUUUCGUCAAUGGGGCAACCCUGAACGAGCAACGCCGCGUGCAGGAAGAAGGUUUUCGGAUCGUAAACUGUCUUUUCGUCGGGGAAGAGAAGUGGACGGUACCCGAGGAAUCGACGCCCCGGCUAACUACGCGCCAGCACGCCGCGGU
rnacentral:rRNA from 1 species